AGGGUUCACAGCGCUUCACUUCUCCCACAUUUCCUUAUUUUACAGCCUUAUUCCAAAAUGGAAAUAUUUCAUUUUUUUCCUCAAAUUUCUUCAUGUUGUUGUUGACGAAUCCCAAGAUGCAGAGAAGGCGGCAGGCAUUUUUCAGUCAUAGAAUUACAAGUUCCAAGAGGUGAAAUCAAAGCUUUCGAAGGGCGUAGGAACUUACACGACCUGCACUCCUUGGAUCAUGUACAGAUGAGCGCUAAUACAGACCAGUUGCAGGAUUGGAUUGGUACUCUCACAUUGUUCCGAGGAAGAACUAAAUGGAAACGGGCCUUUGGCUCAAAGAAAGAAAUGACAAUAAUAAAUACCAUGUUUUCUUUUUAUAAAAUCACAAUAAAUAUGAAUAAAUUAACGCAUUGGACAUUACAUAAAUACAUAUCAUAUUGUUGCUGUCCAAUGGAAGCAUGUAUCGUCA